AGAAAAGUCGAAGGAAGAAGGAGAAGAGGGUGGCGAGGAUGACAGUGACGGUCACAGAGAAGGAAGCUAAGUCUACAGAGAAAAGAAGAGGAAUGAGGCGACGGCGGUGAUAGAGUCCACGGUCGCUGUUCGAUCCGUAGAGCUACGUCCUCCGUAGGAUGGUGUCGCAGCUAUUUUUUCGCCGGUGGAUGUUGCGAAUGAAGAAUGAAGAGAGAUUACGAGAUGUCGACGUCGGCGAUGGUGGAGCUAGCCUCCUAUCCUCGCCAAUGACACCUAUGAAAUGAUGCAACAAAGGAGUGGAGCAAAAGAGACAAGCUUUUGGUGGUUUAAAGUCACUAUCUCAAAGCAUCAGAAGUGGCCAAGAAAAAAACAAUCAUUUUGGGACUAGAAUCCUAGCAGCAAAUUGAUGACACCGGUGAUGAAAACUGAGAGCUUUGAUAUCCUAUCUUGGGCGGUAUUACAGAGUGGUAGCAGGUAAUUAGGAGCUAAAAUCAUGUUUAGGAAAUUCACUAAAUUUUGCUGUUGUCAGUGAAUAUAGUUGUGAAUGAACUAGACAAGACCUUGCAACACCAAAGAAAAAGCCACUUUCUGAAGGUGAGAAGAGGUAUAUAUCUUUGGUUUUCUUUGUUUUAUUCAAAUUUUAAUUGAUGAUUUCAUUCUAAUAUUGUUUUGUUCUGGGAAAAUAAAGGAAGAAGAAAAUUGUGCUUGGGAGUUUAAUGAAAGCGUGGUGAGGCCUGGUGGUGAUGAUCAGGUUAUUUUUGUCAUAUGUAAAUAUGUAUUUUUUCUAAUAUAUAAUAGGAAAAAUAAAAAUUCUUUCCUUAUUAAUGCCCUUGAUUAAAUUGGUGAGUGUUAGUUAUAAUGUUGGGCAUUUUGUU